GCUUGCUUCCUUUCANACUUAGCGGNGGACGGGUGAGUAACACGUAGGCANCCUGCCCUCAAGACUGGGAUAACUACCGGAAACGGUAGCUAAUACCGGAUAAUUUCUUUCCUCUCCUGAGGAGAGAAUGAAAGGCGGAGCAAUCUGCUGCUUGGGGAUGGGCCUGCGGNNCAUUAGCUAGUUGGUGGGGUAACGGCCCACCAAGGCGACGAUGCGUAGCCGACCUGAGAGGGUGAACGGCCACACUGNNACUGAGCCACGNNANNNNCUANUACGGGAGGCAGCAGUAGGGAAUCUUCCGCAAUGGGCGCAAGCCUGACGGAGCAANGCCGCGUGAGUGAUGAAGGUUUUCGGAUCGUAAAGCUCUGUUGCCAGGGAAGAACGUCCGGUAGAGUAACUGCUGCCGGAGUGACGGUACCUGAGAAGAAAGCCCCGGCUAACUACGUGCCAGCAGCCGCGGUAAUACGUAGGGGGCAAGCGUUGUCCGGAAUUAUUGGGCGUAAAGCGCGCGCAGGCGGUUAUUUAAGUCUGGUGUUUAAACCUUGGGCUCAACCUGAGGUCGCACUGGAAACUGGGUGACUUGAGUACAGAAGAGGAAAGUGGAAUUCCACGUGUAGCGGUGAAAUGCGUAGAUAUGUGGAGGAACACCAGUGGCGANGCGACUUUCUGGCUGUANUGACGCUGAGGCNCNAAGCGUGGGAGCAACAGGAUNAGAUACCUGGUAG
rnacentral:rRNA from 1 species